UCAAAGCAUCCAACCCUACUACUUGGGCUGCCAUGGUCACCACUGCCACCACCAUUAUUCCGGUGAUAGACAUGUUGGAUCCCGCGGCCAGCGACCAGAUAGUAAAGGUCUGCCAUGAGUUCGGAUUCUUUAAGGUUGUCAACCAUGGUGUCCCCUUGGAAGCCAUGACAAAAUUAGAACACCCGGGUACAAAAUGUCUCAUAAUUCGAUGACAUUAUUUUUUCCGCACACCCGUGCGACAUCCGUGCAACGCCUGUGCAAAGUUGACAUAACACACUCGGUCCAAUUCAGACUAUGUUGGGGCUGUGAGAAACACUGCCUGUGAGGUUUUGGAGAUGAUAUCUGAGGGGUUGAAGAUUGAAUCAAAGGAUCGGAUGUGUUAAACAUACUAUUAAGGGAUGAGAAAAGUGAUUGUUGGUUUAGGGUAAACCAUUAUCUGCCAUGCCCGGAGCUCCAAACUGGGAUGAACGAUGGAGAUCUGAUUGAAUUUGGAGAGCAUACAGACCCACAAGUGAUCUCUGUUGUGAGAUCAAACAACACAACAGGACUGCAAAUCUCAGUUGGAGAUGGGACAUGGCUUUCUGUCCCACCUGAUCACCACUAGCUCCCUCUUCUUCAACGUUGGUGAUUGUUUGCAGGAAACGCUAUGGGCCCAAAGGAGUCAAUUACAUACAACACGUUAUUAGCACGGGUUUUCUAACUCCUCGCGUCGGUUAACAUUGAUGUUAUGAGCUCGUCUGAUCCACAAGAGUUGCGCAAAUGGAAGCAAGCCGGAAGAAGGUGAAGCCGGCCGCAAUCGCAAUUUUGGAGAUGGGCGGCGGACUCAAUUGUGUUUAGAUUAGUUCUAAUAUAUUUCCCCAAAAAUCUCAACUUCGCAACUUGCCCAAAGUCUUCAACAGGGCAAAUUAUACCAUGGAUAAGGGUGUAACUUGCAUUAUACACCCUGAUUCAAAAAUAAUCUAUGAAGUUGACACAUUCUAUACCUGCAAUUGAUAAUUUUUGUACUUAUAGCUAUCAUAUUAUAUGUCAAUAACUAUCAAGUUAUUUAUUUAUAUAUACAAAAGCGGUUAACUGUAA